rnacentral:ribozyme from 1 species
UGCCCAGCAACUCCUAUCCCUACCUCCUCGCGGUACUGGCCGGGGUACGAGUAACCUUAGAGAAGAUCGAGUAGCUAACCCCGGUGGGAACUCUGGUCGUAUGCUGACAGGGAAAG